AUUCCACCUCUGUAUAAACCAACUGCUGUGGUUUGGUACUUGUCUGGAAAAGUCUGGAUGGCACCCCGUUGACGCCAGUGGCGGAACCAGAAGAUUUUCAUAAGGGGGGCAAAAUACAUCAGUAAAAUUUUUUUAUUUAUUGACGCUUGAAGUGCUUCUUUCGGUUUUACGAUUAAGAGGAGGUAACUGUAUCAUGCGAGUCUGUAUAGUUUAAAAACGUCUCAAAAUUUGCUCGUUUUCAAUUGUUGGAA
rnacentral:lncRNA from 1 species